GCGGCCAUGGUUUAACGGCAGAACGCUACCUUGCCAAGGUAGAGACCGGGGUUCAAUUCCCCGUGGCCGCA
rnacentral:tRNA from 1 species